GACGAACGCUGGCGGCGUGCUUAACACAUGCAAGUCGAACGGUGAAGCGCCUUCUUUUUUGGUGGGUGUGGAUGAGUGGCGAACGGGUGAGUAACACGUGAGUAACCUGCCCCCUUCUUCUGGAUAACCGCAUGAAAGUGUGGCUAAUACGGGAUAUUCUGGGUCUGUCGCAUGAUGGGUCUGGGUAAGAUCUUGUUUCGGUGGGGGAUGGGCUCGCGGCCUAUCAGCUCGUUGGUGAGGUGAUGGCCUACCAAGGCGGUGAGGGGUAGCCGGCCUGAGAGGGUGGACGGUCAUACUGGGACUGAGACACGGACGAGAAUCCUACGAGAGCCAUCAGUCGGGAGUAUUGCACAAUGGGCGAAAGCCGGAUGCAGCGACGCGGCGUGAGGGAUGGAGGCCUUCGGGUUGUGAACAGCUUUCGCCAGUGAAGCGGGCUUGCCUCGUUUGUGGGUGGGUUGACGGUAGCUGGAUAAGAAGCGCCGGCUAACUACGUG
rnacentral:rRNA from 1 species